rnacentral:rRNA from 1 species
CCUACGGGUGGCAGCAGUAGGGAAUCUUCCACAAUGGGCGAAAGCCUGAUGGAGCAACGCCGCGUGGGUGAAGAAGGUCUUCGGAUCGUAAAACCCUGUUGUUAGAGAAGCAAGUGCGUGAGAGUAACUGUUCACGUUUCGACGGUAUCUAACCAGAACGCCACGGCUAACUACGUGCCAGCAGCCGCGGUGAUACGUAGGUGGCAAGCGUUAUCCGGAUUUAUUGGGCGUAAAGGGAACGCAGGCGGUCUUUUAAGUCUGAUGUGAAAGCCCUCGGCUUAACCGGGGUAGUGCAUUGGAAACUGGGAGACGUGAGUGCAGAAGAGGAGAGUGGAACUCGAUGUGUAGCGGUGAAAUGCGUAGAUAUAUGGAAGAACUCCAGUGGCGAAGGCGGCUCUCUGGUCUGUAACUGACGCUGAGGUUCGAAAGCGUGGGUAUCAAACAGGAUUAGAUACCCGAGUAGUC